rnacentral:snRNA from 1 species
GAACUGAGGGCAAUCUGGCUACAAUAUCUGUUAUCCCAUUGAUUGCCAGAGUUGAUUCAUCUGACCUGGCUGGUUAGGUGGGUGUCCCUUCCUUCCUCACCACUCCAUGUGUGUCAGUGGUGGGAUUCAAUUUUUNGGUAUUUGCUGGUUCUCCAAACUACUCAAAUUUCCGCUACCGGUUCUCCAGAACUGGUUAGAACCUGCUGAAUACUACCUCUGAACCUGCUGAAUACUACCUCCUUUGGGACACACCUUUGGGAGGGACACACACUCCAUGUGUGUCCCUUCCAGAGGUGCAUGCUCAGUGGAAAAGGACAACCAUACCGGAUAGAAAUACUGUUCUGAUCUUCAUCAAGGAUAUAUGCUAGUUGCUCUCCUUUGCUAGAACCUCCAAACAAGCUCAAUGUCUUAGAAUGCUAUGGAUUACCAGACACUUUUAUGUCAUAUAAUUGAAUUAUUCUGGCAAGUUAG